AGCGAACGCUGGCGGCAGGCCUAACACAUGCAAGUCGAACGAAGCCUUCGGGCUUAGUGGCGGACGGGUGAGUAACACGUGGGAACGUACCUUUUGGUUCGGAACAACUCAGGGAAACUUGAGCUAAUACCGGAUGAGCCCUUAGGGGGAAAGAUUUAUCGCCGAAAGAGCGGCCCGCGUUAGAUUAGCUAGUUGGUGAGGUAAAGGCUCACCAAGGCUACGAUCUAUAGCUGGUCUGAGAGGAUGAUCAGCCACACUGGGACUGAGACACGGCCCAGACUCCUACGGGAGGCAGCAGUGGGGAAUCUUGCGCAAUUGGCGAAAGCCUGACGCAGCCAUGCCGCGUGAAUGAUGAAGGUCUUAGGAUUGUAAAAUUCUUUCACCGGGGACGAUAAUGACGGUACCCGGAGAAGAAGCCCCGGCUAACUUCGUGCCAGCAGCCGCCGUAACAC
rnacentral:rRNA from 1 species